ACACGUUGAAUAAAAUUACAGCAACAAUAAACUUAAUAAGAAAAGUGUAUAAAAACCAAACGUGGCGUUUUUUUUAUAUAAAAUAACAAUUAAUAGUUAAAUUAUUUAAAGGAUUUCUUGGUGUAAAAUUUAUUAAUUUUAGAGCGAGGGGGAAUAUCUCUUAGCAAUUAUGUACAUUUUUCUGAAAUUUGUUCUACCCGCUUUUGUUAUUUCUACACGCCGUAUUUCAAAAUCAAACUGUUUCACUUUUCAACCAACUUUUAAGCGUCAAGCUAAAAAGCAAUAGUUGUUGUUGAAGUUGUAAAUAAUGACAAGAAGUUAAGGCGGGUAGACAAGCUGUUUUGUCGGUGGAAGAAAGGGGAGAAGAAGGUUUGAUAGACACACUCUGAUCGUGAAGUUAUGCUAAGCAUGUUGUUGUUGAACAUGGAACAGACAUGUGUGUAUCUCUGAGUUUUUUUACACGUCCGGAGUAAAAAGCGGCUGUCUAUUACUGGAGGCUAAAGUGUGCAGUUUUUUUUGGCUCAUGUUUUUUAGAAGAGUAUUAAAAAUAUUAUAAACAGAAAAAUCUGCUCAGUUAAAAACAAACAUCUUUACAUAUCUACAUUUAAGAAGAGAUAUGGAGUGGAAGAGCAAGAAAUGCCAAAAUGAAAAAGAGAUUGUUACAAACUUAAAUAAAGAGAUCUUUUAUAAAGCUCUUAAAAAAUACUUUUAAGUGAUGCCAGAUGUAAAUAAAAAUAAUAAAAAAUGUA